rnacentral:rRNA from 1 species
GACGAACGCUGGCGGCGUGCUUAACACAUGCAAGUCGAACGGAAAGGCCCUGCUUUUGUGGGGUGCUCGAGUGGCGAACGGGUGAGUAACACGUGAGUAACCUGCCCUUGACUUUGGGAUAACUUCAGGAAACUGGGGCUAAUACCGGAUAGGAGCUCCUGCUGCAUGGUGGGGGUUGGAAAGUUUUGGCGGUUGGGGAUGGACUCGCGGCUUAUCAGCUUGUUGGUGGGGUAGUGGCUUACCAAGGCUUUGACGGGUAGCCGGCCUGAGAGGGUGACCGGCCACAUUGGGGCUGAGAUACGGCCCAGACUCCUACGGGAGGCAGCAGUGGGGAAUAUUGCACAAUGGGCGGAAGCCUGAUGCAGCAACGCCGCGUGCGGGAUGACGGCCUUCGGGUUGUAAACCGCUUUCGCCUGUGACGAAGCGUGAGUGACGGUAAUGGGUAAAGAAGCACCGGCUAACUACGUG